rnacentral:rRNA from 1 species
CUAGCAUGAAAUCAGACAAGUGAACCCGCUGAAUUUAA